UCGAACUCAGGACCUUGCGCUUGCCAGGCAGGCGUGGUGCUACUGAGCUGUAUCCCUGGCCCCGCGUGUCACUUUGUAGUUAAGGCAGCAGAACCACUGAGCCAAAUCCCCGGCCCUACAAUGUUUGGAGCCAUUGCCUUCAUCUAGUUCCAAGACACUUCCAUCAGCCCAAAGAGAACCUCAUGCCCGCUGGUUCUGGAGUCCACUUUAUCCAUCUCAGCGGGACCUGGCUCAUCCACUCCACUUUCCAAAUUGUGGCUCAAUCUGAGCCAAAGAUAACGUCUGCCUCCCAUUCCUCGAGGCCGAGGCUACGCUGAGGUAGACACUGCAGCGCAGGUUUGCACCGGCCCUGGAUGCAGAAGGUCGGCAGCUUGAGGGCAGCCUGAUGAUGGGAGCCAAGGAGGCAGGGUCCUUUCCGGCCCCGCUCUUCGGUGAUGUCUCAUCAGACAUUGGGGCCUGAGGCCUGGCACGGGUGCCAGUAGCAUCCUCUGAGAACAGCAUCUGCUUGUCACCCAGGUGGUCUGGGAUGCUCUGGUCCCCAGCACCUGUGGUGGAGAAGAGGCAGCCUCGGCAGCUAAAGGAGCAGACAAGCAGACAGGUGGACUCAAUACUUGGAAGUCUGAAGAGCUCCGGAUAAACGAGCAGGGUCAGCCCAGCAUGGCUGGGAGCCCAUUGUCCCCCUUCUAGUCUCAGUCACAACCAUGCUAUUUACAGCCUUCCUUGACAUGUUCAUGCUCAGGAGUUCAUCCGUUUCUUGUAACUUGAUAGGUGUGGAGGUGACUCUUACCAACCCUGUGUGACAGGAGGCAACAAACAGGCUCAGGGACACAAGGGACUUGCCCCAAGUCACUCAGUGAAGCUCUGCCUUCUGACAUUUGACGUCCUGUUGCACAGUGAACAACUCAGGAAAGGCUCCUCUUUCUGUCCCUGUAAACCCAGCCAUGGCUUGGCUGUGGCCAAGGUGGAUGUCAUCCUCCAGCGGCUCCUGGGUGAUGGCCUCGCCCAUCACUCAGAACCUGCCACAGGCUAGGCACUCUGUCAACGACUUCCAAAGGGAGACAUGGUUAUCCGCAUUUCACAGAGGAGGGAAAGGAGACACCUACAAGUUAAGAAAUGUGCCCACCUACUGACUGCAGGGGCUCAUGCUCCAAGUCCCAGCUACUUGGGAGGCUGAGGCAAGAGGAUCGCUGGAGCACAGGAGUUCAAUGCUAGUCUGGACAACGUCGGAGAGCUUGUCUCUAAGAACAAAAUAAAAACAAAAACAAGAAACUUGCCCAAUGUCACACAGCUAGAACCAGCCCUGCAACCCACGUGUUUGUUUUUUAAAUGUAGAUAUGACCCCCUGCUAGAACAUAGUCACCACGUCAAAGUGAAAAAUUUGCCUGUUUCCCUCGCUUCCUGUUUCCGGUGGUACCCUGGACAGACACCUGAAGUGAUGAAGAUCACUGGUGUGUUAGUUGUGCUCCUCAUGGUUUUGAAGAUGUGAUUAUAACCUGUAGCGAACAGUGUCUGCGGGUGAGAGCUCAAUGGCAGGUUCUUGAGAAUCACCCCAGCUGUCUGAACUGUAGAGGCACAGAGCCGCUGGACAACUGCAACUAGGCCACACACCGAGAGGUCCCACAGGAGAUUUUAUUAGGGAAGGCAGGUUAGGGA